rnacentral:rRNA from 1 species
AUUGAACGCUGGCGGCAGGCCUAACACAUGCAAGUCGAGCGGAUGAAGGGAGCUUGCUCCUGGAUUCAGCGGCGGACGGGUGAGUAAUGCCUAGGAAUCUGCCUGGUAGUGCGUGAUAACGUCCGGAAACGGGCGCUAAUACCGCAUACGUCCUGAGGGAGAAAGUGGGGGAUCUUCGGACCUCACGCUAUCAGAUGAGCCUAGGUCGGAUUAGCUAGUUGGUGGGGUAAAGGCCUACCAAGGCGACGAUCCGUAACUGGUCUGAGAGGAUGAUCAGUCACACUAGAAGUGAGACAGGGACAUGGCGCCUAAGAGACGCAGCAGUGUGGAAUAGUAGACAAUGGGCGAAAGCCUGGUCCAGCCAUGCCGCGUGUGUGAAGAAGGUCUUCGGAGUGUAAAGCACUUUUAGGUGGGAGGAAGGGCAGUAAGUUAAUACCUUGCUGUUUUGACGUUACCAACAGAAGAAGCACCGGCUAACUUCGUG